rnacentral:lncRNA from 1 species
CUACAUUUUCCCUCCCUUAUAAAGAUUCCGUCCUCGGAAUCGAAAAGUACAAUUACCCGAACAAAUGCGGAUAAUUCUUUUCAUUCUUUCUUCUAACUCCCACGUUGCUUCUUCAGCGCUGUAGUUUCUCCACAAUACCUUUACUGAAGGUAUUGUCUUAUUUCGCAAAAUUUGUUCUUUCCUAUCCAAUAUUUGCACAGGAACCUCUUCGUAGGUUAAAUCUUUCUCAAAUUGGAUAGGCUCAUAUUCAAUCACAUGUUUAUAAUCUGGCUUGUAUGGUCGUAAAACUGACACGUGAAACACGUUAUGAACAUGCUCUAGCUCCGGAGGUAAAGCUACUUCAUAAGCUAUCUCUCCCACUUUUCUCAAAACUUCAAACGGUCGUAUAAAACGAGGACUUAACUUUCCCUUCUUUCCGAAACGUAUUUUCCCUUUUCAAGGAGAUACUUUCAGAAACACAUGCGAUCCGACUUCAAAAUCUCUUUUCUGUCUGUGCAAAUCUACAUACUUCUUCUGGUGAUCUUGAGAAGUUAUUAAUCGCAUUCGUAUCAACUUAACUACUUCUGCAGUUUGUUGUACUAGUUCGGGACCUAGUAGACGACGUUCGCCCACUUCAUCACAACACAAGGGUGUUCUGCAUUUUCUUCCAUACAAUGCUUCAUAAGGCGGCAUGCCUAUACUAGCGUGAUAGUUGUUGUUACUUGUGUAUCCUCACAGAUCCUACACAAUUAUUUGUAUUCAUAGGCAUAUUAGCCAAAUAGAUAAGUCAUAUAUCUUGUAAGUUCACGUAUCACAUAAUCACAGUGAUCAUACUUUUAGUUUAUAUUCUCAUACUUGAGAUAUUUCUUUACAUUUUCAAAUAUCUCAUCCAUGUUCUUACAAUCGCCUUUUCUUUCUGUUAAAGGGUCUGACAUAAUUUCUGCUCAUUGAUUUUAGUUCAUGUUUCUUUUACUUCUUCCAUUUGUCAUAAGUAUACUUUGCAAUUUUCCUUAGAAUUAGGUAUUCAAGGUGAAUACCUAAGAUAUUUCAUGUUUCACAAGGUAACUUGAUAGCAUAUCUUAUACAUCAAAGGUAAUUUCCAUUUGUAUGGUUAUUCCUUGGUAUUUUUUUAUGAUUUACAGACUCAUUCUGAUAUGCCAUUUCAUUAAUAUUAGCUUGUAUUCUUUUACAAAACAGUAAUUAUUAUAGCUGCUAAUCAACAGCUGUUACUGAUCAUUCUAUUUGUUAUGGUUACUGAUAUCAUCUAUAUGUUGCCACCACUAAGCAGCCACCACUAAGCAGUAAAUCCCUCCUUUGCUGCCCAUCUUAUUUAAGUUAAGGUUUUAUUAUAUAUUAUGUAUAUUUUCCCUUUUUGAAAUUCAGAAGUUAAGAGUUACAAGUAAACUCUAAAAUUACAACACAUAGCAAAAAAAAUGACUUACCAAAGCAGUAAUAGCAGCUGCUCGCUGCUGCUCACUACUGUUAUUAUACAGCAGUCCCUUUUCCCCAAUCCCUUGUUUUAAGAGAUCAAAAUUCUCACCGUUUUGGCCCAUGUGUUGUUACAUUUUGAAUAUCACAAUGUGAACAUUCUUUUGUUUUACUGUUUACAUAGUGCAAGGUUGUAAAUUAUGAUGUUAUAUAUUCUUCUUUUCUGUUAUUUAUGAUGAUUAACUAUGUCUCUCCUCUGUUUUCUUGUUCUUUUGGUUGUGGCAAGUGAUACCCAGAACACAAUUUUGUUUGUUUUCUCUAUGAUUGUUGUUUGCUUCUAUUUCUUGUUGUUCAUGUUUACAUCAGUGCGUUGUGGCACUUGGCUAGUGUUCUUCUUCUUUUUUAAAUCAGAUCAUACUACUUGUAUUAAUGGUUUAAGGUGGGGAUUGGAUAGAUUUGUUCCCCUUUGUAAGUCUUGUACCACAUUCUGCAUAGAAAUGAAAGAGGUGUUGAUUCAUUCUUUAACACUGAGCUCACUUUUUAUUCCUUUUGUCAUGGCAUCUCCUAUUCCUAGAUAGUCCCUCCGUUUUGGGGGGGAAAAAGAGACCUCAUUUGCAAAAUAUAUAAAUAUUACUGUAUUUUUAGUACUGCUAACCUGAUAAUGAAAUUAGGAAAAAUAAUUUGAGGAAUUCUGUAUUUUUUUAAACCUUUAGUUUUUGGGGUGGAGGGAGUAUCAAGUUAUUCAACUAAUACUCUUAGAAAAAGAGUCGGUUUUUUUCUUCUUGUUUUUCAAUUUCAUCUAAAACAGCCCCACUUCCUUUGUAUUUUUUUCUCAACAUACAAAGAACUUAUAAAGACAUAAAGAGACAACACAUAAAGACCAUGCUCUCCUUUUUACAGUCUUACUUAGUGAGUUCAGAUUUGAAAUUUGAAGGUUUGAGGUUUAUGCUUUAAUUAUUGUAUGUACAGAAACCUUUGUUGAUAUAACCAAUGAAGGGGUUUUAAUUUUAAAAUUGCAUAUUCUUAAUUUUGUUCUCUUUGCUUGGAAGGUACAUCAAUAUGGAUUCUCAAAUUGAUAAUGCAAGCAUGGAUAAGCCAAAAGUUAGAAAGGCAGAAAAUUAUACUGUAGCGGAAGACCUCAUUAUAAUUGCGGCAUGGGAGCAUACUAGUGAGGAUGUGGUGAUUGGAACUGACCAAGCCAAAGAACAAUAUUGGACUAGAGUAUGGAGAGAGUACUUGUCGAAUGCAAGCAGCUAUCCAUAUCGACCAGAGAAAUCAAUAAUCAACCGAUUCAGCAUUAUCAGGACUAAAUGCUUGAAGUUUUCUGGGAUUGUUCAAAGCAUUGAGUAUGCGAAUCCGAGUGGAAUGACUGACCAAGACAAGGUAAAAUUUCCUUUAUUAUAAUAAUCACUUUAAUAUAUAAAUGAUAGUUUCAUAUUUAUUAUUUUGACAUAUUGCACAAUAUUUUUAUAGCUUAAUCAAGCCAUUAAAACAUGGUCUUCAGAGGAGAAGGAAAAAGGUGUUUUCAAGUUUUUACACUUAUCAAGUGCUCAAGAAUUCUCCAAAGUGGAUUACAGAAGUGGUGCACCCCAAUUUGAGCCGAAGUGUAGCUGCAUCAGAUUCGAUCAAUUUAGGAGACGAUGCGAGUGCCUCUGGUCAUGUAGAAAUGGAAAGGCCAAUUGGUAAGAAGGCCGGUAAAGAGCGACGGAAGAACAAAAAAAUGAAGGUGGAAGAUAGUGAAGAGUCUCAAACCAGCAUUCAUUUCGAAAAGUCACAAGAUUUAAUGCAAAAAUUUCAUGAUCAGAAGAUGGAUGUCAUUUUCCAGGAUAGCAAAAAAAUGGAUGAAUAUCUACAGUUGAAGAGGGAGAAACUUGAACUUGAUAGGGAGCAUAAAGAGGAGAAGGUUAUGACUAUUGACAUGUCUAGCUUGAAUGAGAUGCAGCGAAAGUACAUUGAAAUGAAACAAGCAAAGAUCUUUGAAAGAGCGUUUAACAAGUAGACGAUUUAGUUGUCCUAUCUAACUUUCUAUGGACUUGUAGCAAUUUUAGUGUGUUUCUGUUUCUUUAGGUUUACUAAAAUUUCAAUAUCUCUCGACUUGUAUUUUUUGAAGUUUGUUUGGACUUAUGGUAAUUGAAGUUUCUUUGGACUUAUUUUAACCUACAAUUACUUUACGAAAUUUUAUUAUGAUAUUAUAUAAAUGCUUGACAUUAUAUUUAAACAAAAAACUUGAACUUGACAUUACAUUCAAAAAUUCAAACAGAACAAUAGAACUUAAACAUUUAUUAUAUAAGCAGAAACACAAUUACUCAACAUUUUCGUGCCUUUCCCAUAGAUGCUCAAUUAAGUCUUCUUGAAGACGACGAUGCAUAAUUUUAUCUUGUAACUUUUCACGUCCCGCAAUGAAUUGGUUAUAAUCAAAGUGUUCAUACCCGCAAUCGACUAUUGGAGAGGAAAUUUCUUCAAAUAAAUAAUAGUUACCUUUCUCCAAUGACUUGUAUAGGUCACGCUCGUCUUCUACAAUCAUGUUAUGCAUUAUAAUGCAUGCCUUCAUGAUAUUCUUCAAUGUUGCUAACCUAAAAUACCUGCAAGGUUGCCGAAUUAUAUGAAAACGUGAUUGGAGAACUCCAAAUGCACGUUCCACAUCUUUCCGUGUAGACUCUUGAGCACUUGCAUAAUUUUUUGCCUUUUGAGUUUGUGGCAUUUGGAUUGUUUUUGCAAUAGUAGGACCAUUUUGGAUAGAUACCAUCCGCCAAAUAAUAUCCCGUAUCGUAUUGAUGAUUAUUGAUGAUAAAGUUCACUGACGGAGCACGACCAUUAAUAACAUCUGCAAAGAUAGGAGAACGUUCAAGAACAUUGAUGUCAUUGAGUGAACCUGGAAGGCCGAAGAAAGUAUGCCAUAUCCAAAGAUCACGUGAGGCCACUGCCUCUAAUAUUACUGUUGCAUCACCACAAUGGCCCGAGUAGUGACCCUUCCAUCCACUUGGACAAUUUUUCCAUGUCCAAUGCAUACAAUCAAUGCUGCCAAGCAUUCCUGGGAAUCCACGCUCCUCAUGUAGUAAAAAUAACCUACUUACAUCGUUGGCAGUAGGUGACCUCAAGUAUUAAUCACCAAAAAUAUUAAUCACUGCUUCAACAAAUUUUUUCAUUGCCUCAUUUGCUGUGCUUUCUGCAAGCCGAAGAUACUCAUCCACCAAAUCACCAGAAACUCCAUAACACAACAUUCUGAGUGCUGCAGUAACUUUUUGUAAUGAAGAUAAGCCCUCUGUGCGUGCAGCAUUUCGACGUUGCACAAAAUAUUCAUCAUAAGCCAAAACAGCAUCAUGAAUGCGGAGGAAUAAAUUACGACUCAUGCGAAAUCGUCUUCGAAAUAGUCUGUGAGGAAAUGUCGGGGUUGGGGAGAAGUAAUCUCGUACCAAGUUUUCAUGGCCCGUCUUACGAUCACGAUCGAUGUAAACAUGACCGAGAACAGAACCUCGAUGUGUCUUCGCUUUGCCUUUUCUCUCUGAAAUUUCUCCUUCCAUGGUUAAACAAUUUUCAUGCAGAACCUCUUGUUCAGUAGAGUCAAGUUAAAGAUGUUGAUGCCUUCUUCGAAAAAACUGAAACAUUUAUGAUGUUAGAAGUAGGAGAAGAAUGCUAAAUUGAAAUGACCGUUGCACUUUUUGAUUUCUAGCAACAUCUAUUUUUAAAUUAAAAUAAUAGCAUUUUUUAAAUUCAAACAUCAAUUAUUUUUAACUAAAAAAUAGUUACAACGGUCAAAACAUGUUUUAAUUGUUGGAACUUUCAAAUUUUAAAUUUUAAAUUUUAAAUUUUAUUAUUUAAGGAAUCAAUAUAAGGAAUCUGUUGGGUACAUACUGAAAAAAUUAAAUCCCUAUCCUGCAGAAUGACCCAAUAGCACUGCAGAGUAGGGAUAAAGAUAAGGAAACUGUUGUAAAUGCUCUAAGCCUUGAUUUCCGAAUUAGUUGGUUGCAACCCAAACACUUCUGAGUUUCUCCCACUUGAUAGCGUAACCUUCCUUAGUUAUCAGAGCUUUCCCAAACUAACAGAACAUAAAGCGUCUACCAGAUUUUUCUUUUAACAACAAAGAGCCUAUUACUUGAACAUGAACUGGAGAAGGGUUAUAUGAUAUCUAAGUUCUGAUAUCUUUAACAGAGAUCUACACUUAAAGGAGUAUAUAUGUGGUUAAUACGUUUGUAGGCUAACUGAGUUGUUAAUGCUAGGUUUCUGAUUAAAUGCUAGCUCAUGCUAAACUAAUAGAUCAUUUCCUGAUUAAAAGCCACGUAUCCCACAUUAAGCUGAGUUUUAAUUUUCUACUGUUAAGCUUUAAUUCUUAAGGCUGUGUUUGGGCAAGAAAAUAACAAUUACCUCCCUUUCUGUACUUAUUGCACCACUUAUAACGUAUUUUAGAUAUACCAAAAUGCAUUUCAAAAUUUUGAAUAAAAUAUCCAUACAUCAUUUCCAUCAAAGUAGAGGGUAUUUAUUAAAUAUAAUAAAUAUUAAUUAUUAUACUUAACAUAUCACCACAUCACAUAUUACACUACAUCACAUAUUACACUGCACAUGAUAAUAUCAUAACACAUACUGAAGUAUAUAUAUGUAAACAAAAUAUUCUAGAAAAAUCUUAUUUUAUUUACUCAAGAAAAAUGCGAUUCCCUACAUUUUCCCUCCCUUAUAAAGAUUUCGUCCUCGGAAUCGAAAAGUACAAUUACCCGAACAAAUGCGGAUAAUUCUUUUUCAUUCUUUCUUCUAACUCCCACGUUGCUUCUUCAGCGUUGUGGUUUCUCCACAAUACCUUUACUGAAAGUAUUGUCUUAUUUCGCAAAAUUUGUUCUUUCCUAUCCAAUAUUUGCACAGGAACCUCUUCGUAGGUUAAAUCUUUCUCAAAUUGGAUAGGCUCAUAUUCAAUCACAUGUUUAUAAUUUGGCUUGUAUGGUCGUAAAACUGACACGUGAAACACAUUAUGAACAUGCUCUAGCUCCGGGGGUAAAGCUACUUCAUAAGUUACCUCUCCCACUUUUCUCAAAACUUCAAACGGUCCUAUAAAACGAGAACUUAACUUUCCCUUCUUUCCGAAACGUAUCUUCCCUUUCCAGGGAGAUACUUUCAGAAAC